UACGUAGGGUGCGAGCGUUGUCCGGAAUUAUUGGGCGUAAAGAGCUUGUAGGCGGUUUGUCGCGUCUGCUGUGAAAAUCCGGGGCUCAACCCCGGACUUGCAGUGGGUACGGGCAGACUAGAGUGUGGUAGGGGAGACUGGAAUUCCUGGUGUAGCGGUGAAAAUGCGCAGAUAUCAGGAGGAACACCGAUGGCGAAGGCGGGUCUCUGGGCCGAUACUGACGCUGAGGAGCGAAAAGCGUGGGGGAGCGAACAGG
rnacentral:rRNA from 1 species